rnacentral:rRNA from 1 species
UACGUAGGGUGCGAGCGUUGCCCGGAUUUAUUGGGCGUAAAGCGCGUGUAGGCGGCCAGGAAGGUCCGCUGUGAAAACUCGAGGCUCAACCUCGAGAUGUCGGCGGAAACCCUCUGGCUAGAGUCCGGAAGAGGAGAGUGGAAUUCCCGGUGUAGCGGUGAAAUGCGCAGAUAUCGGGAAGAACACCCGUGGCGAAGGCGGCUCUCUGGGACGGUACUGACGCUGAGACGCGAAAGCGUGGGGAGCGAACAGG